UAACAGUCCGAUUAACGGGCAACCCACUCUACCUCCUGAGCCACAGCUGCCCCUAUGUAGGAAAGCUGCAAGGAAGAAGAUGAAGCUGUAUUCUCAGCUGCCCUUUGCAACCAGGCAGACAAGAAAGAAAGGGAAGAAUCCUGUUUACUGUCAGUUUGGACUGUAACUACUUCAGGACUGCAGGAGAAGUCAUGGCAGCUAGUCUUGCACAAGGCGUACCUUGCCUUAACUUCAUGCAUGAGUGGUGCAUCAGAUAUCUUUGCUCUGGUGACCCUGACAACAUUCAAGUGUCUGCCAGUGAUGUCACGGAUUUGGAACUGUCACAGCUAAUUGUAAAGCUGUUAUACUUCAAUCCACCAUGAGACUCAUCCUGAUGCUGGACCAGCUCAGAAAAGGCUGCAGCUCUGUGACCUACCAAAGAUCAUGAAGACCCAUCAAGACCUUUGCCAACCACUGUUUGUUACAGAGGAAGAUGCUAAGUGGAUACAGGAGAACAGCCGCCCUGUCUUCCGUGAGAUUGGUUCUGCCAAACACCGCAUGGAAACAAACAUCAUGAACUUUUUCCAGGACUACCUUCAGGAAAUUGAGGAUUCUGGUGUGUUUUAGCCAAUACAGAAUAAAAUAGAGAACAUGAUGGCCCAAGACACAACAAUAUUGCUCCAGAAAGUUGGACGAAUGUAGCGGACAGGGACACAAGCCACUCUGCCAAGUGAAAAGAAGGACUUUGUCAUAAAUGUGAGAUUCCACCAUGACUGUGACACAAAAUUGUCAGCGACGGCAGUCGUACAAUCAUAUUUCCCACAGCGCACCUGAAAACAUUCAGUGAAUUUAAAAAUAUGGUUUAACAACUCAGUCUAAGGGAAAACUACCAAGUAACUGCCAUAAGUCAAAAUAUGCAUUGUAUUAUUUUAUGGGCAUUUUUAUUUGACAACUUCCUGUUUCUGUGAAUAACUUUGUCAUUCAUUGUUACAAAACCAUUGUUUUGUUGUUAGUGAUGGUUCACUUCAAAACCAAAAUGAAUAAUUAAUUUUUUACCUCAUGUUACUCCAAUGUUAAAAUGAACUAAUGUCACAGUAAGCCUUUUGUAACUGGCAUGAUUUGUUGGCAAAUGUUCAACUUCAUUCCAUUAAAUCUU